rnacentral:rRNA from 1 species
AUGAACGCUGGCGGCGUGCCUAAUACAUGCAAGUCGAGCGAACAGACGAGGAGCUUGCUCCUCUGACGUUAGCGGCGGACGGGUGAGUAACACGUGGAUAACCUACCUAUAAGACUGGGAUAACUUCGGGAAACCGGAGCUAAUACCGGAUAAUAUAUUGAACCGCAUGGUUCAAUAGUGAAAGACGGUUUUGCUGUCACUUAUAGAUGGAUCCACGCCGCAUUAGCUAGUUGGUAAGGUAACGGCUUACCAAGGCAACGAUGCGUAGCCGACCUGAGAGGGUGAUCGGACACACUGGAACUGAGACACGGUCCAGACUCCUACGGGAGGCAGCAGUAGGGAAUCUUCCGCAAUGGGCGAGAGCUUGACGGAGCAACGCCGCGUGAGUGAUGAAGGUCUUCGGAUCGUAAAACUCUGUUAUUAGGGAAGAACAAAUGUGUAAGUAACUAUGCACGUCUUGACGGUACCUAAUCAGAAAGCCACGGCUAACUACGUG